rnacentral:rRNA from 1 species
UAGGCCUACGGGGGGCAGCAGUGGGGAAUAUUGCACAAUGGGGGGAACCCUGAUGCAGCGACGCCGCGUGAAGGAAGAAGUAUUUCGGUAUGUAAAGCUCUAUCAGCAGGGAAGAAAAUGACGGUACCUGACUAAGAAGCCCCGGCUAACUACGUGCCAGCAGCCGCGGUAAUACGUAGGGGGCAAGCGUUAUCCGGAUUUACUGGGUGUAAAGGGAGCGUAGACGGCGGAACAAGUCAGAAGUGAAAACCCGGGGCU